CUCCAAUCAAUGAAACUGAUCUCUCCGUGAAGAAGCGGAGAUUUAACUAUAAGACGAGAAGACCCCAUGGAGCUUUAAACCUGACUACACCCUUAUCUAUUAUACCCCCUUAAUCAACAGGACCCUGUCUGUCAGUUUUAGGUUGGGGUGACCACGGAGCACAAAUAAACCUCCAUGAUGAACUGGACUAACCCAUUAUCUAAGAAAAACACCUCAAAGAAUUAGCACACUAACAUAAAAUGAUCCGACACUCGAUCAACGAACCAAGUUACCCUGGGGAUAACAGCGCAAUCUACUUCAAGAGCCCAUAUCGACAAGUGGGUUUACGACCUCGAUGUUGGAUCAGGGUAUCCUAGUGGUGCAGCAGCUACUAAAGGUUCGUUUGUUCAACGAUUAAAACCCU
rnacentral:rRNA from 1 species